UACGAAGGGGGCUAGCGUUGCUCGGAAUCACUGGGCGUAAAGCGCACGUAGGCGGCUUUCUAAGUCAGGGGUGAAAUCCUGGAGCUCAACUCCAGAACUGCCUUUGAUACUGAAGAUCUUGAGUUCGGGAGAGGUGAGUGGAACUGCGAGUGUAGAGGUGAAAUUCGUAGAUAUUCGCAAGAACACCAGUGGCGAAGGCGGCUCACUGGCCCGAUACUGACGCUGAGGCACGAAAGCGUGGGGA
rnacentral:rRNA from 1 species